ACGACUAUAAAGUCACAGGAUGAAUUGCCAAGUAGAUAGAUCAGAUCCAGACUCUAUCUACUCCUACUCCUUCCUAGGUACCAUAGCAUGUCAGGAGAAGCUAUCACUCUUGGAAGUCCUUGCAAUUGUUCGACAACAGAUCGAGUUCAAGAACUCUAGGAGAGAAGCCUAUUUACGGAGUGAAAGAAGGGGAAGAAACAACUCUAGAUGCCUCCCGUUCAGUUUGUUUCAUUCUUUCAUGUUUUUUGUUUUGUUUCGCUCGUAGAUACCAAGCCCUCUCUUGCCUUCCACAUCUCUCCGUUCUUAGCUAUUUCUACUGUUAUGUUUUCUCUUUUGAGGUCUCCAAUAGGAUUUGAGUUUGCAGAAAGAUUAUUUUCGGUAGAAAUCGAGUUUUGAACGCCUUUCAAGAAGGUAUCUUUCCAUAAAGCCGUUGACACAAAAAUCUUGUUGUUGAAGCGACAGAGGUUGUGGUUUCAUUGGAUUAGUUUGCAAGUUUUGUUCCAAGUUGAAACGAUUCUCUUGGGGUAAAAUCCACUCAUUUUCAUAAUGAUUCUAUACCCAACACCACAUGUGAAUAGAAUCUUAGUUUUGUUUUCUUUUUUUAUUUUUUCGACCUAUUCAUUAUUUUUUCCCAACUAUAAAGUGCAGCUAUUAUCUUAUUCU